rnacentral:miRNA from 1 species
GCUUUCGUAGCUCAGUUGGUU